rnacentral:rRNA from 1 species
GACGAACGCUGGCGGCGUGCCUAAUACAUGCAAGUAGAACGCUGAAGGAGGAGCUUGCUUCUCUGGAUGAGUUGCGAACGGGUGAGUAACGCGUAGGUAACCUGCCUGGUAGCGGGGGAUAACUAUUGGAAACGAUAGCUAAUACCGCAUAAGAGUAGAUGUUGCAUGACAUUUUCUUAAAAGGUGCAAUUGCAUCACUACCAGAUGGACCUGCGUUGUAUUAGCUAGUUGGUGAGGUAACGUCUCACCAAGGCAACGAUACAUAUCCGACCUGAGAGGGUGAUAGGCCACACUGGGACUGAGACACGGCCCAGACUCCUACGGGAGGCAGCAGUAGGGAAUCUUCGGCAAUGGACGGAAGUCUGAACGAGCAACGCCGCGUGAGUGAAGAAGGUUUUCGGAUCGUAAAGCUCUGUUGUAAGAGAAGAACGAGUGUGAGAGUGGAAAGUUCACACUGUGACGGUAUCUUACCAGAAAGGGACGGCUAACUACGUG